UGGGGAAUAUUGGACAAUGGGCGCAAGCCUGAUCCAGCCAUGCCGCGUGAGUGAUGAAGGCCCUAGGGUUGUAAAGCUCUUUCGCCAGGGACGAUAAUGACGGUACCUGGAUAAGAAGCCCCGGCUAACUUCGUGCCAGCAGCCGCGGUAAUACGAAGGGGGCUAGCGUUGUUCGGAAUCACUGGGCGUAAAGCGCACGUAGGCGGAUCUUUAAGUCAGGGGUGAAAUCCCGGGGCUCAACCUCGGAACUGCCUUUGAUACUGGAGGUCUCGAGUCCGGGAGAGGUGAGUGGAACUGCGAGUGUAGAGGUGAAAUUCGUAGAUAUUCGCAAGAACACCAGUGGCGAAGGCGGCUCACUGGCCCGGUACUGACGCUGAGGUGCGAA
rnacentral:rRNA from 1 species